rnacentral:rRNA from 1 species
CAGCCCUAAACGAUGCGCGUUAGGUGUAUCGGUGACCACGAGUCACCGAGGUGCCGAAGGGAAACCGUGAAACGUGCCGCCUGGGAAGUACGGUCGCAAGGCUGAAACUUAAAGGAAUUGGCGGGGGAGCACAACAACGGGUGGAGCUUGCGGUUUAAUUGGAUUCAACGCCGGAAAGCUCACCGGAUAAGACAGCGGAAUGAUUGCCGGGCUGAAGACCCUGCAUGACCAGCUGAGAGGAGGUGCAUGGCGUAGUCGUGU